UGCGGUAGUGUAGUGUAAGUGUCUUCUUCCAAUGGUAAAUGGUAAUGGUUUUCCCCUUGGAGAGACUGAAUCAUUAAGGCUAAGGAUUCCAGAAGGGCAGCCUUAUAAAGGUAGGAUUUUUCUUUUUCGGUGCAUGGGUGAUGGUAUUUUCUUUUUUUAUGUAUCUAGCAAGGGGGGAGUGAAAAGUGAAUAUAGUGAUUGAAACGAAGAAAAGGUAGGUAUGAUUUUAGUUGAUUUUCGCAAUGUAAUACUAAGUGAGCUGUGGCCCUCGUCCAAACCUAUCAUCUUGCUAGCGUAAGACUGACUGCAAUGAUUCUUCGAGUGAUCUUUCUCGCAGUAUUAACUAGUUUAUUUUUUAUCAAUUCUUCCGUUACUUGAUUGGGUAACUUGGAGGGCAGUCACAACACAUUUAGUAUUUCACGAAAAUUAACUUUUGACGGCAGGUAAGUAGUGACAAGGCCCGUGUUCGCUUAUUAAUAUUUCGUUCAAUCAAUAAUAUAAUUGGUUAAUAAGAGAACAGAGCCGAUAAUCGCUUUAAAAGAGAAUGAACGCUACUUACUUUUCUUUUCGUUUGUUCAUAGCGUCCUACUUCAAGACAUUGGGCGCGAUCUCCAUCUCUGGUGAGGAUGCAGGACCACACCAGCCUUGCUUCUUUUGUACACGAUUCAGGCGAGUGAGUUACCACCAACUUGCCAUGCCUGUUUCCACGAACUUCUGCGUGCCGACUCCCCCAGGCAAGUCCGGAUUAAUAAGGCUAAGGAUUCCCGAAGGACGGCCUUAUAAAGGUAGGAUUUUUCGUUUUUAUGCAUGGGUUUCUUUAUUUUUUAUGUAUUUAGGAGUGGGGGAAAAGUGAAUAGUGCACAAAGUGAUUAAAGUGAACAUCGACGAUUAAUUUUAGCCGAUUUUCUUGGUCUAAUUCUAAAUGGAUUGUGAUCGUCUUCUCAGCCCUCAUUUUGGCGACGUAAGAUUAGCUGCAAUGAAUCUUUGAAUGAUCAUUUUCUCGACGUUAAUCGGUUCACUAUACGUAAAUCAGUAUGACUAUGAUUUCAUAGCCAUACCAGUUUCGUAAAGUAAAUGGAUUUUCUUUGCAAGUCUUGAGUAUAAAGAAGUAUUGCAGCUAAUUAUUCCGUUCUCAAGGUGAAUGUCUUUGAGGAUGGUCAUAGUCUUUUUAUUAUUAAUUACACGAAAUCGGUUUACUGGUUUUUAAAGGAAGGUUAGUAAUUAAAUCGUUAUACAUAGGCGAACGCGCCUUACGAGUAUACUUUGGUGGUCGUACUAAUAUCAUCGAAUGUUCACAGCGCCAUCUGUACCCACGGUUCAAGAUUUACCAUUAUCAACCCCUGAGAUGGACCAAAGUCUACCCUCGAUCAACAAUGUCAAAGUUCAAUCGAACAAGUAAUUGGUAAUGAAGAUACCCAUACCACACCAAUCCAGUUCGUCAACGAGUGCGUUUCCCUUCCGUACUUAGUGUUCCUUCCAGAUGAGACACAAUUAAUAAUGCUAAAUUCACAGCGCCAUCUUCAUCCACUGGCCAAGGUCCACCAUCGGCCUCUACGAGGGAUCAGAUCGGAUUCAAGUCUACACCCGAACCAUCCCAAAAGUUCAAUUGAACGAGAUAGUGCGUGCUUAUACCACAUCAUUCCGGUUGGCCAGUAGUCGACGUCGACGAGUGCUGUUCCCUCCCAUGGUUAGUGUCACUUCCAGGCGAGAUUCAACAAAUAAGGCUAAAGGGUUCCAGAAGAGCAGCCUUAUAAAGGUAGGAUCUUUCUUUUAUAUGCAUGGGCUGUUGCAUUUUUUUAUGUACCUAUUUAGCAGUGAAGUGCAUUAAAGUGUUUAAAAAGAAGAUCAACGACUAAUUGUAACUGGCUUUCAUAUUGUAGUACUAAGUGAGUGAUAAUCGCCCCUUCCGGGCCUAUCAACUUGAUGACUUAAGUUUGACUGCAAUGAUUUUUCGAUUGGUCUCUCCCGCGACAUCAUUCAAUUUACGUUACAUUAAUCGGUAUGACUAUAAGUUUAUAGCCACACCAAUUUUGUGAAGUACAUUGAUUUUUGCGAAUUUGACUGUGGGCAAUGAUUGCAUCCAAGGCUUCUGUUACCAAGUUGAAUGUCCUGGGGACUGUUAUACCUCACUUAUUAUUACACGAAGGCCAGUUAACGAAAGGUGAGUGAUUAAAUUACUUUAUAAUUCAUUUGAAACGAUGUUCGAUGAUCUGCUUCUAUAUUUUUCUACUCUGACGUUAACUGAAAUGAACUUACUAAGCUAUACUGCGCUCACGUUGCAUACGCUAUACUUCUAUACUGAGGUCCCUUAAUGAAAAUAUAUUUAACAGCCGGAUACAAGCACCACGAAUGCAUGAAUGAAGCUUCCCGAAACCCUAACAAUUUCCGAAGGAUUGUCACUUCGAGGGGUCAUCAGUGGGAAUCUUUAUUAUAAAGAUUCGAACCCCUGAAAAUUGACAUUUCGCCAUUACCAUUUUAGAGGUCGUCACCGCCCACAAAAUUGUAGAGAGGAAAAAUGACAAAAUGUCAAGUUUCGGGGAUUCGAACUCAUAAAAAAGGUUCCCACUGGCACCUCGAAAUGGUAACCCAUCGUAAAUUGUUUGUUAUGGUCUCGGAAAGCUUGAUGAAGAAUUUGGUGCUUGUAUCCGGUUGUAUAAUCUAAAAUUACGUCUACGCAUAAAACGCACGCCCGCGCCGUCUCGGAACGAAUACCAAACCGCGUCGGAAAUAGUGUAUGUGUAGUGGUAGUGUUUUCGGUACUGGAAGAGAUAUGGCAAUCUUUCUAAGCUCCUCCUUAACUUAGAAGAAUGCUAUAGAUCACUGGUACCAUAAAACGGUAAGUGAGCUUUCGGGGGUUCAGUGGGACUACUUGAGCCACCUGCGGAUGGCCAACGCCCCACCUCCACCUUUAUUUAAAAAUUGAAUUACUUUUACUCUUCUGUAAUUGGUGGUUACACAUCAUUACACAGCCACGCUUUUCCCCUCACCACAGUGCGCUAGUUUGGAGCGCACCAAUAGCCGAUGUCAUCCUGGCAUGGAUCAGUACGUGUUUAAACCAUAUCCAUCCACCCACGGUUGUGAAACAAAGAAUAGAAGUAGGAAAGUUCACCUUUUUGCUCCUGAAAAAGGUUUUGGAUGAAUGAAAUUUGCCGAUCCGCGGAUUCGCCGUAAACUCGUCUAACUUCGUACGGAAAAAAAUGCUAUUCAUUGGUGUGAAGAUUGGGAACGUGGGUUUUUCGCAAACACGCCGGCUCUCACAACUCUGUCCUAUCCGUGCAGGUAUACAAGGAAACGAAGAAGCUUAUGGACGUAGACGUGAUCCUCGCACAA